rnacentral:rRNA from 1 species
UAAAAUGGGAGGUAAAUUUCUCCUAAGGCUAAAUAUUGGCGAGAGACCGAUAGCGAACAAGUACCGUGAGGGAAAGACGAAAAGCACUUUGAAAAGAGAGUUAAAUGGUACGUGAAAUUGUUGAAAGGGAAACGAUUGUAGCCAGUCGUACCGACGGAGAAUCAGCUUUUGUAGUGCGUGAUGCGGGUAUUCGAGGAGUUUAAAAGCCCUCUUGUGCUUGCAGUUGCAUGCUACUGGGGCGCACUUCUUCGUAUUGGUAGGUUAACAUCAAUUUUGGACGUUAUAAAAUGACUGGAGGAAUGUAGCUUCGAUUUUUCGAAGUGUUAUAGCCUUUGGUAAAUGUGACGACCGGGAUUGAGGAUUGCAACGAAUGCUUUUUGGCUAUCCGUCUGGCCUCUGAUGGUUUCUUUGGGGUCGAAAGCGUGCUUACGGCUUCAAAGCUGGCUGUCAAAAGGUUAGAACGCGAUUAAAUUCGUUAAGGAUGUUGACGUAAUGGCUUUAAACGACCCGUCUUGAAACACGGACCAAGGAG